CGGCUACCUUGUUACGACUUAGUCCCAGUCACCGAACCUAGCGUAGACACCAUCGAAUUAUGGCGGCUUCGGCUAUUUCCGGCUCCCAUGACUUGACGGGCGGUGUGUACAGGGCUCAGGAACACAUUCACCGCGGCGUAGCUGAUCCGCGAUUACUAGCGAUUCCAACUCCACGGAGGCGGGUUGCAGCCUCCGAUCUGAACUGGGGGGUGAUUUUUGCGUUUUCCAUGCACUUGCGCGCUAGGUUCGCUUUGUCCACCCCAUUGUAGCACGUGUGUGGCCCUGGGUAUAAAGGCCAUGGGGACUUGACGUCAUCUCCACCUUCCUCCGGUUUGACACCGGCAGUCCCCCUAGAGUCCCCGACUUUACUCGAUGGUAACUAAGGGCAAAGGUUUCGCUCGUUAUGGGACUUAACCCGACAUCUCACGACACGAGCUGACGACAGCCAUGCAGCACCUGUCCAAGUUGUACCCCGAAGGGCCUACUCCACUUUCAUGGAGAUAAUCCAAGGAUGUCAAACCCAGGUAAGGUUCUGCGCGUUGCUUCGAAUUAAACCACAUGCUCCACCGCUUGUGUGAGCCCCCGUCAAUUCCUUUGAGUUUUAGCCUUGCGACCGUACUUCCCAGGCGGUCCACUUAACAUUUUUACUUCGACCACAACACCGUCAAAAGUGCUGCGAUCUAGUGGACAUCGUUUAGGGCCAGGGCUACCGGGGUAUCUAAUCCCGUUUGCUCCCCCUGGCUUUCGUGU
rnacentral:rRNA from 1 species